rnacentral:lncRNA from 1 species
UUAUAUUCGUCAUUGUCGUUGUUGUCGUCGUUGUCAUCAUCAUCAUCGUCGCCGUUGUUGUUGUUGUUGUUGUUGUUGUUGUUGUUGUUGUUGUUGUUGUUGUUCUUGUUGUUGUUGUUGUUGUCGUUGUAGUUGUUGUUGCUAUUGUUGUUGUCGUUAUUUUUGGUGUUGUUGUUGUUCUUAUUCUUCUUCUUCUUCCUCUUGUUGUUGUUGUCAUCGCCGUCGUCUUCCUUGUCUUUGUUGUUG